AGAGAAUCGCUUGAACCUAGGAGGUGGAGGUUGCAGUGAGCUGAGAUCGCACCACUGCACUCCAGCCUUGGUGACAGAG
rnacentral:snRNA from 1 species